GAUGAACGCUAGCGGCAGGCUUAAUACAUGCAAGUCGAGGGGCAGCACAGGUAGCAAUACUGGGUGGCGACCGGCAAACGGGUGCGGAACACGUACACAACUUACCUUAGAGUGGGGGAUAGCCCAGGGAAACUUGGAUUAAUACCCCAUAAAACAGGGGGCCCGCAUGGGCAUAUUGUUAAAGAUUUAUCGCUUUAAGAUGGGUGUGCGUAUGAUUAGGUAGUUGGUAGGGUAAAGGCCUACCAAGCCGACGAUCAUUAACUGGUGUGAGAGCACGACCAGUCACACGGGCACUGAGACCCGGGCCCGACUCCUACGGGAGGCAGCAGUAAGGAAUAUUGGUCAAUGGACGGAAGUUUGAACCAGCCAUGCCGCGUGAAGGAUGAAGGUCCUCUGGAUUGUAAACUUCUUUUAUAGGGGGCGAAAAAGGGCCAUUCUUGGUCAACUGACGGUACCCUAUGAAUAAGCACCGGCUAACUCCGUGCCAGCCGCCGCGGUAAUAC
rnacentral:rRNA from 1 species